rnacentral:rRNA from 1 species
GUGUCAGCAGCCGCGGUAAUACGGAGGAGGCAAGCGUUAUCCGGAAUUAUUGGGCGUAAAGGGUCUGUAGGUGGCAAUUCAAGUCUGCUGUUAAAGCCGAUAGCUUAACUAUCGAUCGGCAGUGGAAACUGAAUCGCUUGAGUGCAGUAGGGGUCACGGGAAUUUCCAGAGUAGCGGUGAAAUGCGUAGAUACUGGAAAGAACACCAGCGGCGAAAGCGCGUGACUGGGCUGUUACUGACACUGAGGGACGAAAGCUAGGGGAGCAAAACGGAUUAGAUACCCCAGUAGUCC